rnacentral:rRNA from 1 species
CACCGCGGUUAUACGAAAGGCCCAAGUUGAAAAACAUUCGGCGUAAAGGGUGGCUAAGGACCUAUCCCAAACUAGAGCUGAAUUUCUUCAAAGCUGUUAUACGCUCAUGAAAAGUAGAAAAUCAACCACGAAAGUGGCUCUAAUCACUCCUGACACCACGAAAGCUAUGGCA